GCGAGUAUGCUACGUAGGUGACCUGCGGAGGAUCAUUACCGAGUGCGGGCUGCCUCCGGGCGCCCAACCUCCCACCCGUGACUACCUAACACUGUUGCUUCGGCGGGGAGCCCUCUCGGGGGCGAGCCGCCGGGGACUACUGAACUUCAUGCCUGAGAGUGAUGCAGUCUGAGUCUGAAUAUAAAAUCAGUCAAAACUUUCAACAAUGGAUCUCUUGGUUCCGGCAUCGAUGAAGAACGCAGCGAACUGCGAUAAGUAAUGUGAAUUGCAGAAUUCAGUGAAUCAUCGAGUCUUUGAACGCACAUUGCGCCCCCUGGCAUUCCGGGGGGCAUGCCUGUCCGAGCGUCAUUGCUGCCCAUCAAGCCCGGCUUGUGUGUUGGGUCGUCGUCCCCCCCGGGGGACGGGCCCGAAAGGCAGCGGCGGCACCGUGUCCGGUCCUCGAGCGUAUGGGGCUUUGUCACCCGCUCGAUUAGGGCCGGCCGGGCGCCAGCCGACGUCUCCAACCAUUUUCUUCAGGUUGACCUCGGAUCAGGUAGGGAUACCCGCUGAACUUAAGCAUAUCAAUAGGCCGGAGGAA
rnacentral:rRNA from 1 species